UACGUAGGGUGCAAGCGUUGUCCGGAAUUAUUGGGCGUAAAGAGCGUGUAGGCGGCCAGGUAGGUCUGGUGUGAAAACUCGAGGCUUAACCUCGAGAUGUCAUCGGAAACCAUCUGGCUAGAGUCCGGAAGAGGAGAGUGGAAUUCCUGGUGUAGCGGUGAAAUGCGCAGAUAUACAGGAAGAACACCAAUGGCGAAGGCGGCUAACUGGUCCAGCACUGACGCUGAGGUGCGAAAGCGUGGGGAGCAAACAGG
rnacentral:rRNA from 1 species